AAGGUUUCCGUAGGUGAACCUGCGGAAGGAUCAUUAUAGAAUAAAAUUGAACGGGCUGUUGCUCUCCUUAUGGUGGUGCACGCCUGUCAUAUUUAUCUCUCCCACUGUGCACAUUUUGUAGACCUGGUGUUUGGGAAUUGCUGUAGUCAGCUUUGCCCUUUGCCCUUGCCAGUCUAUGUUAUUUUAUCACAACCUCUGAAUGUUUUGAACUUUUUAUGAUGGAAAUUAUAUACAACUUUCAGCAACGGAUCUCUUGGCUCUCGCAUCGAUGAAGAACGCAGCGAAAUGCGAUAAGUAAUGUGAAUUGCAGAAUUCAGUGAAUCAUCGAAUCUUUGAACGCAUCUUGCGCUUCUUGGUAUUCCAAGGAGCAUGCCUGUUUGAGUGUCAUUAAAGUUCUCAAAACCCACAUGCUUGUCAUGUGGAAUUUUGGAUAUGGGGGUUUGCAGGCUUUUUAAAGUCGGCUCCUCUGAAAUGUAUCAGUGGUAUCUGUGUGGACUACAGGUGUGAUAAAUAAAAUCUAUGCCUUGCCCCUCACCGUGCUGCUUCUUCUGACGAGUUGGGAUUGACACAUUUGACCUCAAAUCAGGUAGGACUACCCGCUGAACUUAAGCAUAUCAAUAAGCGGAGGAA
rnacentral:rRNA from 1 species